AGAGUUUGAUCAUGGCUCAGAUUGAACGCUGGCGGAAUGCUUUACACAUGCAAGUCGAGCGGCAGCGCGGGGCAACCUGGCGGCGAGCGGCGAACGGGUGAGUAAUGCAUCGGAACAUGUCCAUGGAUGGGGGAUAGCCCGGCGAAAGCCGGAUUAAUACCGCAUGAGCCCGAGAGGGGAAAGUGGGGGACCGCAAGGCCUCACGUCGAUGGGUUGGCCGAUGCCCGAUUAGCUAGUUGGUGAGGUAAUGGCUCACCAAGGCGAUGAUCGGUAGCUGGUCUGAGAGGAUGAUCAGCCACACUGGGACUGAGACACGGCCCAGACUCCUACGGGAGGCAGCAGUGGGGAAUUUUGGACAAUGGGGGCAACCCUGAUCCAGCCAUUCCGCGUGAGUGAAGAAGGCCUUCGGGUUGUAAAGCUCUUUUGUCCGGAGCGAAAAGGUUACGGUGAAUAUCCGUGACUACUGACGGUACCGGAAGAAUAAGCACCGGCUAACUACGUGCCAGCAGCCGCGGUAAUACGUAGGGUGCGAGCGUUAAUCGGAAUUACUGGGCGUAAAGCGUGCGCAGGCGGUUUUGUAAGCCAGAUGUGAAAUCCCCGGGCUCAACCUGGGAAUGGCAUUUGGGACUGCAAGGCUUGAGUGCGGCAGAGGAGACUGGAAUUCCUGGUGUAGCAGUGAAAUGCGUAGAUAUCAGGAGGAAUACCGAUGGCGAAGGCAGGUCUCUGGGCUGACACUGACGCUCAUGCACGAAAGCGUGGGGGAGCAAACAGGAUUAGAUACCCUGGUAGUCCACGCCCUAAACGAUGUCGACUGGUUGUUGGGGGUUUGACACUCUCAGUAACGAAGCUAACGCGUGAAGUCGACCGCCU
rnacentral:rRNA from 1 species